UGGUGGAGUGAUUUGUCUGCUUAAUUGCGAUAACGAACGAGACCUUAACCUGCUAAAUAGCCAGGCUAGCUUUGGCUGGUCGCCGGCUUCUUAGAGGGACUAUCGGUGUGUAGCCGAUGGAAGUUCGAGGCAAUAACA
rnacentral:rRNA from 1 species